CAGGGAAGCAGCACAGCAGAAAUCCAAGAUGAAAAUAGGAUUCCGCAAUCAAAUGCACCAUGGGGCCAAGGAGAGACGAAGUUGCUCCUCAACAGCUACUUCCAAUACUCAAGACAGGUUGGACCUAUGAAAAGGUUCAGGAGUAAAAGAGCGAUGUAUGAGCAGAUUGCCAAAGAUAUUUUCGAAGUGUUGCAGAUCACACGCACAGGCGUCCAAUGUGAAACCCGGUUCAAGACGCUAGCAAAACGUAAACGCAGCGAGGACAACCACAACAGAACGUCGGGCAACUCCACUGCCAAACGUCAUAUGAGGAAGAGUUCAAUGCCAUUAGGGCCAUUGACGACAGCCUUGAGCAUGAAGUGUUACGAAGCGUCGGCCAAGUGACCUACAAAGACUCGACACUGGAUAGGUCCACAGCAGGACCUUCUAGCGCUGCACAAGACGGCAACAUCGACAAUUCCGAAGGCAGUGAACAAGACGACGCAUCAACAAGAGCCCCAAGAGGGGAAAGCCGAUGCAAGAAGCGGAAAGCGGACAGAGGAAUUUGACCAAGCAACGGCCGCAUGCAGCACAUGGUGUUCUUUUUCGAGCAAAUGAAAGCACUGAAUGAUGCGAAAGAACGUAAAAAAGAAGAAUGCGAGAAACGAAAAGAGGAGCGGCACCAAGAGCUGCUGUAGGCGCACAAGGCGCAGAUGCAGACCGUGAGAGACCUCGCUAACAAGCAAUAGGUUGCCUAAAUAAGGUACAUCAUAACUGUUUAUUACGAUAAAUUAUGGAAAUGUGCAAUAAAUCAUGGUAAACCCAGAAA